AAGGAAAGAAGGUAAUCGAUCACGAUUUUGAAACCAUAAUUGAAGAGUCCGAGAAGCGAAUUAAACAUCUUCCUUGGCCUAGGGAGAUGAAAGCUCGCCUCAAGCAUUUCUGAAAUAAAGUAGAACCAAACUUUCUCUGCUACCUCCAUAAGAGCCAUUAAUUAAAGUUAGACGAAAUCGCCACCCACAAUUUCUCGAUGAAGCUUUGGAAUACAUACAGGAGUUUCACAAUAAGCAUUCGGCUAAUGACUUGUACGGCCUGCCAAAAACAUGACAAGAGUCUCUUGAUCUGGCGUUAACCUGCUCCGAUGCCGAACAGAUUAUCCAAGAGUGGUUGGAUAUGGGAAUGAAGGCUAGGUUCCAACAUAUACGCGAGGCCCGAGUUCUCGGUUUUGAGGUAGAACCAUAUACUGAUAUUGAUAAUGCCGAUCUUCCUUUCUCUCUCGAUGACCUCCAAUAUCUGCGGUACCAUUUUGAAGUUUUCUUAAUCGUUUUUCUCUUCGACCUUAUGGCCGAUAAAAAAAAGUGUGGCAUGUUUAGAUGUUUACCUGGACACAAGAGACGCCCGCAUUGCAUAUUAGGAGCGGACUUGCAAGGCUUUAUAAGCAUAAGACCAAGUUCCAACGCCGAGCGAGCCAAUGGUCGAAAUUCAAAAUGAAACAGCUCCGACAAACAUAUCGCAUGAACACAUUUUCGCUACAGCUGAAGAUGGCCAAGCGAGUAAUGCCAUGAGCAAAACACCUCGCUGGAAAAUCCAGAGGACGAAGAUCACGACUUGAUGGGCCUUUCGGUCCUCGACAACAUAGAAAUCAACAUGGUUCAUGUCUUACUUGCAGAAUUCUGGCCAACCACAUCUCAAUCAAAUUUCUUGGACGAUGACGUCAUUGUUAAGGAGGCCACGCAAGUCAAUUUUCUGGUCGCCGAAGAAAUUAAGCAUAUAAGCAAAGAGGAAAAACUUAAAGCAGCUAUCGCAUAACUAUUUCCCCGUUCUUCAUCUGUUAAUUUUCAUCACUUGAAGUCGUUGUAUGUCACGGCCCAUAUUGAAGGAUACCUGAUUUCUAAAAAAAAUUUCUACUGUGGAGCAAUGGUCAACAUCAUGCAUGUUUCUAUCAUGAAAGCAAUACGUCGCUCCAAUAACGAACUCAUUCCAUCAGGGGUAACCAUGAGCAGCUUUGUCGGCGACAAAUCUCAGACUAAGGGAGUGCUUCAUUUAGAAGUGACUAUCGCAGGUCGAAAUCACAUGACCGAGUUUUUUAUAGUCGAUUAAAAAAUUGAGUAUAAUGCAUUGCUUGGUCGAGACUAGAUCCACCAAACUGGCUAUAUCCCCUCGUCAUUAUUUCAAGUCUUCAUCUUCUGAGACGCCAAACGGCUGUAUUACAUCCAAUAAACAAUUAGUUGUUCAAAGCUAAUAUGAUUCAAGUUCACUAUUAUGAUGAUCAUGUCGGCUACAUCACCCUGCAAGGUUUCAAUGAAGAAUGACAACUGACUCGGAUCUCAGUUCAGAAAGCCAUCGAGGUUGGCGCCAAGACUGUUCAGCAGGAUUUGACGAGACUUGGGUUGGUUAACCUAAUUGAUGAUCCUCAUGCCUGAUACCAAACAAGAUAAACACUGGGCUGCAAUUUCAUCCAUUAUGGAACGUCUGUUGGCCCAUUGGUGUACUAUUUAUACGCAACCGAAUUCUGGCGUGAACUUAGUAAAGUUCCUCGCCGAAUGAGGCAACAGUCCAGUCCCGUUACUUGAUAAAGUCUAAGCUACCCCAACCGAGCUCGAAAAUAGUUGGCCCCAAGUUAAAGAUCUAUUGGAUGAAGUAAACGUUCGAAUAACCGAUAACCCUCAGCAUUUAUUUGUUAGUUCUUUGCUGCCCCAACCUAUGUAAGCUGAGCUUUGUAAACUGUUCGAAGAAUUUAAAGAUUGUUUCGCUUGGAGUUACCAUAAGAUGUCUGGCCUGGAUCGAACACUUGUCGAGCACGAAUUACGAAUCAAGGUUGGUUGUAAACCUUUUUAUCAACCCCCUUUCCCGACGAUUUUCGAUCAAAGUUCAGCUUGGCAUAAAAGAUGAACUCGUUCGACUUUUAAAAGUUGGUUUUAUUCGGAUAGCUCAAUACGUCGAAUGGUUGGCGAAUAUUGUCCCAGUUUUAAAGAAAAGUGGUGUUCUGUGUAUUUGCAUUGAUUUUCGUAAUUUGAACUUGGCAACCCCUAAAGACGAAUAUCCAAUUCCAAUUUCAGACUUGCUAAUCGCUCAGCAGCAAACCAUGAGAUGUUAUCUUUCAUGGAUGACCAUGCUGGGUACAACCAGAUUUUCAUUGCUAAGGUCGCUGUCUACAAAACUGUUUUUUGUUGGCCGAGGCACUCGGGACCUAAGAAUGGGUCGUCAUGCCUUUCGAACUUAAGAACGCCAAUGCCACUUAUCAACGUGCUAUGAAUACCAUUUUUAAUGACUUGAUUGGCUUAGUUGUUGAGGUAUAUAUUGAUGAUGAUGUGGUUAAAUCGAAGCACCACCGAACAUAUUUAGAUGAUCUUCGGGGAGCUUUCCCUCGUAUGCGCAAACAUAACCUUAAAAUGAACCCUGUGAAGGAAAUUUUGUGAAAAACAUGUUCAUUUAAGCAACAUCUAUAGCAUGCAAUUAACAAUUAAAAGGCGGAAUCAUGCUUGCAUGCACUCAAAAACAAAACAUUAACCAUGAAAUUCAAAGCCUAGUAGAUUGGUGAACCUUGACUCAACUUAAAACAACAUUUGUUAGUUGAGAAAUUAUACCUUUGUAGAUUCCUCUUUGCAUAAGCAAAGGCUAAUCACCCAAAGAGAGGGCCUUCAUUCCUUGCAUCUUAGAUCUAUGGAUUUGGAUGGAUGAAAUGGUUCUCCAAGUUCCCAAAAUUGAGAACCUUUAAGUCUCUUCACCAAGGUUAGAUUGGAGAAGAAAUGAGUGACCUUGGAGUAGUAGGAUUGCUAGCUAAACCCUCCAAGGAGGCCGGCCACUUUAGAGAGAAAUGAGAGCUUAUGUUCUCAUCCUUUCCCCAAAAGAAAACCCUAAAUGAAUUUUGGCUAUAAAGUCAUAUUUAUACCUUAAUUCAUUGGAGUGGCAAACUUGUAAAUAAGUCCAAAACUUACUCCAUCUCUAAAUGGCCGGCCUUAGGGUAUUAUUGGGCUAAUUGGGCCUUUGUGAAUCUUUAUUCAUUAAGUUGUCAUACAACUUAAGUCAAUGGGCUUGACGUUUGAAGCCCAUUGGGCCUUAAGGUCCAAAACUAUCCCGAGGUCUUUAACGAACUUAUUCGUUUGAUUAAUUAACAUAUUAAUUAAUCCUUGCCAUAAAUAAUUAAACCAUUUAAUUAUUCUUACUCAUCUCCAUUGUUUCUUCAAUCUCCACCUUACACGGUGUACGAUCCAUUAGGUUCCUUUUAGCGAGGCAAUGAGCGAUUAAAACCAUUUCAAAUCGAUUGUGAAUUGAAACUUACUUUCAAUUCUCCUUUUAGUGAUUAUACACAUUUAGGGCUUCCACAAACCAUGAGUGACACCUAGCAGCAUAUCAUGGUUACCCAAGCUAAUCAGAAGAGGUGGAGAACCUAUUCAGUUUAGGAUUACAAAUGCAAUACGGUCUUUCUCUAAUACAAUACUCUUGACCACAUUGUUUGGUUUGAUAGUUUAUUCAUGUCUACUAUCCAAUGUGAUUCAUGUGCUUAUAUGAUUACCUUGAAUGUGAUUUGGAAUGACUUCCUAAAUCUCAUUCAUACUCUGGCCAGAGAUUCUUAAUCAUAUCAUAGAGUAUUCUCCCCCAAACGGUUUGAAGGUUAGAGAUCCCUUGUUGCGCAUUCACUUGCCUCCAUGGCUAAGUGGCUUAACCCCGACGAUGCCGUGGACACCCGCGGAUUGGGUGACUUUGACAUAAUCAAAGAUCAAGUACCUAACCACAAGACAACUAUGAUGCCUCAGGUUAAAGGACUACUUUGCAUUAUUCCAACCAUGAGUUGUCAUGUGACAUGAGUAUGAGAACUCUUCGUUGAUCGUGUUCAGUGAACUCAUUCCUUAUUGAGCACCUACGUACUUGUCUUGGUGUCAGUCACACCAAUGACUCGAGACCAGUCACUCUCACUGAGAGAAGACACAGCCCGUACUGAUCUUAACGGACUGUCAAUGCCCAAUUGGCAAUCCUAUGAUCAGGAACGUUUAGGAUGUGUCUACGAAAGAAUGGUCUCAUGAAUCUAACUUCUUUAGAUCGCAUUCUCCCAAUCACAUAUUCCUUGAACUUAUCGUUUAAGCGUAUAACAUUUAUAUGAGACGGCUCAAACAAUAAUCUUUGCCUUUGAUAUUAAACUAGAUUAGUUUAACAUGUGAAAUGUCCGUAAAGUAUCAUCAUAUGAUUGGUUUUAGGGCACAUUUCCAACACCCUGCCAAAUAUGCCUUUAGUGUAUCGGCAGGCAACUUCUUGGGUUUCCUUGUAUAUCAUCAUGGCAUCGAGGUAGAAGAGAAUAAAGCUCGAGCGAUCAUUGAUGCUCUACCACCAACAACCAAGAAGCAAUUACAGUCCUUACUCGACGUAAUCAAUUUCCUCCACCGUUUCAUUUCUAACUCGGCGAGGAAAAUGGGUGAUUUUUCCACGCUCUUGAAACUUAAGGAUUCUAACAAAUUUGAAUGGCGCGAAGAACAUCAUGACGUUUUUGUGUAAAUCAAGGUCUCCCUCACCACCCCACCUGUCCUCGUGCCACAUCGACAUGGUAAACCUCUUAAGUUGUAUAUCCCGGUUGCCGAGGAAUUCAUUGGUUGUCUUCAUACGCAAGACAACGACACUAGGCAGGAGCAGGCCAUUUUUUAUCUUAGCCGAAAUCUUAACUCAACUGAGAUAAAUUACUUAGCCGCCGAGAAACUCUGUUUGGCUUUGUUAUUUGUUGCGUCUAAACUCAGGCAUUACAUACUCCCUUCUAUUACUCAGGUCAUCGCCCAAACAGAUGUUAUUUGUUAUAUGCUCACUCGGCCGAUAGUAAAAGGCCGAAUUGGGAAAUAGACAAUGGCGUUGUCCAAAUUUAGUUUGCAAUAUGUGCCCCAAAAAAUCGUCGAAGGACAGGCGCUGGCCAAUUUUUUAACUCAACAUCCUUCUCCAUACAGUUUUAAGGGCAACGACGUCGAAAUUGGCAUGGUGGAAACACGUGAUAUUUAUUGGAUGAUGUAUUUUGAUGACUCUAGUACCUCGACCUUGGCUGACGUUGGAAUCGUCAUCCAAUCCCCUGAUCGUUACCAAUGGUAUUUUUCUCUCAAGUUGGAUUUUGAUUGUACAAACAAUCAAGCCGAAUAUGAGGCCCUCGUCAUCGACCUUACUUGAAGGCAGCCCAUGUGCUCGUCCUCAGCGAUUCAGAACUUGUGAGUAACCAACUCAAUGAGACUUUUCGUUGCAUUAGUUGUACUUUCGCACCCUAUCAUAUGGUUACCAAUUAUUUAGCUGAAUCAUUUGCAGACAUUACGUUUAAGCACAUUUUGCAAGUUCGAAAUACUGACGCGGACAAGUUAGCUCAAAUAGCCUUUGGAGCACAAUUCUUGAGGGUGAACUAGGUCGGGUCAUACCAGUGGUGGACAUCUACACCCGGCCUUGGUUAAUCAACAAGUUCUCUAGCAUGACCACGUAAUCUGUACAUGAGUUAUGUCCCUACCUUCGUUGUUCGAACGAGAGGAUCCUAUGGAUAUAUGCACGGUCUAGACAUUACCAGACGACUGGAGAAGAUUAAUCAUGCAAUAUUUUGAUAAUCCCAGUGGUAAACACGACCGCAAGACAAGGGUACACGCCACAAAUUACAUAAUGUACUAGAAUGUACUAUAUCGAAAAGGUGAAGACAAUCUGUUAUUAUCGUGCCUCGGCCCAGAUGAGGUUGCCUAAGCUAUUGCAGAGGUACACAAAGGAAUAUGCAUGGCUCAUCAAUCCGGACGUAAAACACGUUGGUUGCUCCGCCGACAUGGUUAUUUUUGGCCGAGUAUGUUAAAAGAUUACAUUGAAUACGUGCAAGGUUGUGUACAAUGUCAAAUCCAUAGGCCCAUACAAAGGGUCCUAACCGAAUUACUUCACUCGAUCACUAAGCUAUGGUCGUUCAGAGGAUAGGCCAUAGAUGUAAUCGGUAAGAUGACGCCGUCUUCCGGAUCGGCAAAGCAUGCAUGGAUACUUGUAGCGACCGACUACUUCACCAAAUGGGUCGAAGAAAAAUCAUACGCCAAGUUAACAUCUAAAAAAAGUUUGCAAUUUUGUAGAAGAAAACAUCGUGACGAGAUUUGGCAUACCAGAAACAAUUAUAACGGACAACGGCACGAUUUUUACAGUCGACAGGUUUAAAGAAUACACAGCAAGUUUGAAAAUUCGGCUUGAACAGUCCACACCAUAUUACCCAUAAGCAAACAGAUAGGCCAAAACAAGUAAUAAAGUUCUAAUGGGUAUCCUUGAGAAAAUGAUAAAAGAAAAGCCUGGUAUGUGGCAUUUGAAGUUAAAUGAGGCAUUAUGGGCAUAUCGAACUUCACUCCAAUCAGCAACAGGGACGACCCUAUAUGCGUUAACUUAUGGACACGACCCGAUGCUACCAGUCGGGCUAAGCAUCAACUUGUUAUGAGUUAUUGAACAAAGCAGUUUGUUUAGUGCCGAGUAUAGUCAGGCCACAAGGCAAGAGUUGGAGGAUUUGGAGGAAGCUCGGCUCGAUGCCUAUAACUUACUAGAGGCGUAGAAAAAGAUUGCCUUAUGAGCUUAUAAUCGAUGAGUUAGGCAAAAGACAUUUGAUGAAGGUGAGUUAGUGUGGCACCGUGUUAUCGGCAGGGAUUCAGGAUUCCAUAUUCAGGAAAUGGUCGCUGAAUUGAGAAUGCCCAUUCAUUGUCAACAAAGUUCUUGACAAAGGGGUAUACCACCUCAAGGAUCGAACUGGUUUAAUUCAUAAAUUAUCGAUCAAUGAGAAAUUCUUAAAGAAAUAUCAUCUGGUCACUUAGGAGACGCAAGAAUAAAGGAUUGAUUUCAUUAAUUUUCAAAAGGCGUACACGCAAAAUUACAAAAAGAAAUCGACCAGCCUACAAGCCGGCACACAAAAAUUCCUAAAGAGUCAAAUGAAGAAAAGCUUGAAGAGCGGCUUUCAGUUCCAGCCACUUCACUUCACCUAUUGUGACCUCGGCCUGUCGUGUUCUUUUGUCAGCCUUUAAUUGCUUUAUUCGUUUCGUGCUAGCCGCGUACUCUGCUAGUCGAGGUUUGUUCAACUCAAAAUCCUUUUCAAGCUCAGAAGUAACAACCAACCUCUGAAGAUGAAGUUCGACGAUUUAAUGAUCAAGGUUAGCCAAUCUCUCAUUCUUUGCCUUUAUUACCUGGAGCUCUGGUCGGAUAGCUUCGUGAGUGACCAUUGCAGCCUUAAAGUUGUCUUCUGUCCGAAGAGCCUUCUCGAAAGUAGUGAAAUAUUAUAGAGUUCUUUCUAGGACAGUUGAUAAAUGAACGACACUCUCGUUGCUCUGCAAGUUGUCGGCUGUAAGGUCGUUCAAGCACUCUCCCACAGAGUCGAGACCUUUGCGUUAGAGGAUUUGUGAGGCCGGGAGAGACAGAAGUUCCUGCAGCUUGGCGAGGGCGUUAAACUUGGCCGUGGUUACAGAAUGCCCAAUCGUCCCCGAAGUGCUGGAGAGAAAUGCAUCAAGCUCAACUUCCCAUGAAGGCUACACAAAAAAGAUUUGUUAGAGAAAAGAGAAUUAAAAAAGAUGGCAGAGAAAGAAGUUGUGUUAGACCUGCCGAGAAAAGACUCCAGCCAUGUUUACUGGUUCGUUGGUUGAACCCAGAGAGCUUAAUGGCCAAGCUUAGUGUUUAAGGCAAGUUUUCAAUUCAGGUAGCCGAUGAAGGUUAUCUACGUUUGAUGGCCACUGGGGUGGCUAGGAAAUAUAGAUAACGCAUUUCGGUGCAUAUAAUUUUUGGUGAAAUGAGCGAUUAGGCACCUGGCAUUUAAUGUUUUUCUUGGUUUAGAGUUCUAAGGCAGGAAAUUAAUAAAAGACAAUGAUGAUGAGUCUUACAAAGGUCGAAGUGACCUCCUAAAGAGGGAUACCAAGGUUCUGGUCCUAGGAUGAACAUGUGUUUUUGCCGUUGCUUCUGGUUUAACAGAAGAUGUCGCUUCAUGUCCCGGACGUACUUCGGCCGCUUGGGGGUCGACCUGGCCAACCACCUCGACCGCCGGUUAGAGAUCACCUAAAGGGGAUGCGACAACUUUACCUUUGUCCAGAGGCAAGAGACUUGUAGUAGGUGGUUCAACUCGUCGAAGGCACCUCACCAGCAAAGGUACUUUGUUCUCGUUCUCCUAAUCAUAAAAAAUGAUUGUUCGUUAGUCAAUAGAUCUUAUCAAAAUGAAAGGAGAACAUUAUUAAGGGAAAUUGCCAUACCUCUUCUUCUAUGACUAUCACUGGAUUAUUCUUUGGAUUGGGGGAAAGGUUUCUCUCGACCGUGGUUGCCGCAUUCUCCAGAGUAGCAGCAGCUAGGCCCUAAUCAGCAGGGGUAAUGGCCGGCUCCAGGGACCAUUGAGGCGACGACUAGUUCAACUUCAACAGCAAUUUGCAUGAUGGGUCAAACCUUGACCGUCUGGUCUAUAGUUGGGGUCAAAAGGUUUUGCGGUCCCUUUAUCGAAACUUGGAUAGCAAGAGAAUGAGGAGUGAUACUAUGAGUGGUUGCUCUUAUGGUCUGACUUGAAAUAACAUAAAUCUCCCCAUCUCCGUUCUUUGCCUUUUUCUUAAUACGCUUUUAGGGUUGGGCAACGUUACCAGUUGUCUCGAUCUCCGGGCGAGACUGUUUGCUCGAUGCAAUUGGCACAGCAGUGGCCAUUAUUGUAGUUAGGUUGGUAGUCUUUUCGGCUAAGGGAGUCACGAUAGUUGCAAUCUUUUUUUUAGGAGGAGUAAGUUUCUUUUUUACUGCGACCAUCCUAACCACAUCGACCCGUUGUAUUGCACGACCACCUGGGAAAAGCUAAGCCUGAGUCAAAAUGAAGUUUGAAUAUAUGAACAAUGAAAUAAAAUAUAUAUACCUUGAGCUGUUUCUUUGGAUUUUGGAGCAAGAAUCUUCUUUGGUAGAUCGCCAAAAAGUUUUUUUGAAAUUUCCUCGGCCAAAGUACCAAAGAAAUGCUUGAUAUAAGCAUCCCACCAAUUGGUGAAAGUGCUGGUACUAUGGGUUUUUGGAGUAUUCAACUGAAUGUGGAAUUUGGUACAUUGCUCUUGAAAUUCUUACUCGGUUUCCUCGCAUUCCCUCUCCAAGUAGCCCGAGAGGCGUUUUCGACUCAAAAGUGAGCAAGAGUUUAGGAGUGGCAUAUGAUAGCCCUAAAGAAAGCCCAAUUAACUUGCCACUAAGUUAGGAUGGUAGACUUCCCAACUAGCUCGUUGAGCAUCGCAACCAAAAGAAAGGUCGCGAGCUAGGGUAAACAACCCUCAUGACUGUCAAAGGUUGGUUUCCUCUGUUUCUUCCCAUGCCGAUGUUGGGAGUUUGAUGGAAGACGAAUAUUUCUGGUGGCGGCAGAUCAGAAAUUUGUCAUUUGAUAGAUCUUCAAGGCUGAAGAAAUACUUGAAGAUGUCUUCGGCCGAGUGUGUAGGAAUGGGGCACGAGGUUAGUUGAAGACCCAUCGCUUUAGAAGAGUUGAAGCUUGGGAUUUCUGGCCUCAGCUUGGAAAAGUAAACCUGUAGCCAAAGUUGGAAGACCUAGAGUGGGCUGUUCUAGUGUGGAUCGAUCUUCCCAACAGAAGCCUCAACCAAGCACCGGUUAAGGUUGGUGAGGAUGGCCGGGCUGAGGGCCAAGACAUGGUCGUUAGCCAAAGCUUCGACCACUGACAUAUUUUCGGCCAAGCACUUGUUUGAAGGGAAAACUAUGAGAUUCAUGUAUGGGAUUUCUAAAUGACUAUCAUGCAUAUCCAAAACAAUUUUGAUAUACGAAAGCAGCGGAAGCAUUUAUAACAUAUUAUCAAAGCUAUAGUCAUGCAAAUCCCCUUCAAAGUUCAUAGGUUUAUAUAUAAUGCAUCAAAUAAAAUUUAAGAGAAAAAGAACAAAGUGAAGGUUUAGUCUUAUACCUCUUGAUCUAGACUUGAGACCAAGGAUGGACCACCUCCAAGCCCUUUGUUCCUUGAACUCCUUGAGCCUAGCUUCCUUCCUUGCCUCCUCCACUUUGUUACAAUGAGUGCUCCUAGGUUCUCUUCAAGUUCCCAAAGUAGGAAACCUCUAAAGAUCCUCACCCACUAGUGUAGUGAGAAGGAUGAAGGAAUAACCAAAAGGGUGAAAGAUUGUUAGCUAAAUCACCCUCUUUGGUGGCCGGCCUUUGUAGUGAUUUUAGAGAGAUAUUCUUUUGCCUCUUUGUUGUUUUAACAACACAAAAACCCUAAUGAACAAUAUCUCAUAAAGUUCCUUAUAUAGACAAAAGAAACCUAGUCAACACUUGACCAAAUAUCUCACCCUUUCCACCUUAAAGUGGCCGGCCUCUUUGUUGUUUGUUUGGGCUUUGGGCUUUCAUUAUUUCAAGUCAUCCAAUGCUUGAAUAAAAGCCCAAUGGGUUUAGGCCCAAUGGACCCAAUUAAACCCGAACGUUUCUUAAGCCCAAAACGAUCUUUAUCGCUUUUAUGAUUUCUUUAGACUUCUAAAUUAAUCACAACAAUUAAUUAAUCCAAUUAAUUAUUUCCAUCAUCCAUUAGUUACUCACUACAAUAGUGUAUUGGUGAACAAUCUUUUAGGUUCUAAUUAGCAAGGCAGUGAGGUGAUUGGCACCAAUCCAAUUUAAUUCAAUCACUUAGUGAAUUGAAACUUCAUUUCAAUUCACCUUUCUUCUUUGAUGACUACAUUUAAUCAUCUAGAAGAACUCACAAGCUAUGAGUAACAUCUAACCAUAUGUCAUAGCUACCCAAGCUAAUGUAGAAGUUUAUUCGGAGAACCUAUUCAGUUGGAAUUACAAUGUAAUUCGAUCCUUCUCUAAUACAAUACUCUCAAUCACAUCAUUAGGGUAUGGAUAUAUUAUGUCAAACCCCUAAUGUGAUUAUUCCUUCUUAUAUGAUUCAAUUGAGUCGUAUAGGAACGCUUUCCUUUAUUACGCUCGAUACUUCGGCCAAAGAUUCCCGAAUCAUAUCUUAAAGUAUUCUUCCUCUCUUAUCGAGGAUUAGAUAUUCCUUGUUGCGCAUACACUUGCCUUCAUGACUAAGUGGCUUAACCCCAAUUAUGCCGUGGACACCCUCGAAUGGGGAGACUUUGACAUAAUCAAAGAUUAAGUACUUAACCACAAGACAACGACGAUGCCUCAGGUCUAAGGAUUACUUACAUCUUUCCAACCAUUAAAGUUACUUGCUUGACAUGUGAGUAGACCUCCAUGCAAGUACUCUCGUUCGAUUGUGUUCAGUGAACUCAUUCCCCUAAUGAGCACCUACAUACUUGUCUUAGUGUCACAACACGAAUGGGAUGAGACUUUCCAUCCUUCCAAUUGAAGCAGACACAGUAUGUACCGGUUUACGCAUUGUCAGUAUCCCUCCGACAAUCCAACGACCAGGAACCUUUUUUGGACAUUUGGUUAUGUGAAGAAGGUCUCUGUAGUCUAACAUCAUUAGAUUACUUCUUCAAUCGAUCCACUGUCCAUGGAUACACUAUUUAGGACAUAUAUCGUUUAUUGAGAUAGUCCUAAUUCGUGUCUUUGCCAUUUGAUGUAUAAGAAUCAUCCAUACAUCAAUUCAUUUGUCCUGAAAGGUUUCUUCCAAAGAUUGACUUUCAGGGCAUAUUUCCACCAUUGUUCGACUUAGUACAAAAGAUGAAUUUAUUGUACCAGUAAAACAAGAAAGCCUCGUGCUCUUCUUUCUUGAGAUCUUUCUUCUCUGAACCAUCAAAGUGGUUGAUUAAGGUGUUGUAGUUGAAGAAAUUUUUGUGCAGUUUGUGCAUAUCUUCUUUUGAUAGCUUAUGAUCCUUAUUUGUCAAAACCUCGACGGCAAGAUCGUCGAAGACUGCUUUCAGAUCCAGAUCGAACUGAUACAGAGAAAGAUUGGUAUCAAUUGGGAGAUCAGAGGGAGAAGUGCCUAGUAUGGAUGUGAUGUCCAGCACGGUUAGCUCAAUGGGAUCGAGAUAAAGAACCAUAAUGUGGGUGGCCCAACACCAGAAGCUCAAGGCGGCCAUCAGGAGCUCUCGAUCUAUGUUGAUUUGAAAGGUCGAGAGUUUAAUAGCGUCAAAGGUGCCGAGAGUUUUCCAUUCAUCACCAAAAUGUGGCUCCAUUCGGGUGACCUAAGUAGCCCAAGUCACUGGUGUCGAGGGCCAGGGUCCUUAAGGUUUGGUCGAUUCCCACUUCGACCAAUCAUACCUUUGGAAUAAGGGUUUUAGGCAGUCUGCCUUCAGCAUUGCGUUGAUGAUUUCUAGGAUGUUGUCCUUAAAGGGUGGUCCCAGAAUCUGGUGAGUAGUGUUUGAAUCACCCUCAAAUCGAAGGGUUUUGAUGGCACUCCGAUCGAUGAAGUCUUGGCAUUUGUUGCAUUCCUCGGUGAGCUUAGUGAGGAAAGAAUUGGAGGCCAUUGAUGAAGGUUUGGUGUGUUUCUGGGUUUCGAGGUUUGAGUUCUUUUUCUGGGUUGGGAGCAAAUGGCAAGAAUUUCUAAAGGUUGAAAGCAUGAAAGUUCGAAUUAAGCUGGGCAAAAUUUUUAUAGGCAAUUGGGAGAGAAGAUCAACUGUUUAGGUUUAAGAGAUGAAGGGCAAAUCCGACCGAAGAAUUUCAUAAUCAUAACGAAUAUCUUGAAAAUCCAGGUGAAGAGGCCGAAAAGCAUGCGAAUUGAGGUUGCACGAUUGUGUGUAAUGAUGAAGUUUAUGAAGAAUACAUGUUUCGGUGUCUGCACGCCUUGAACGUGGGGGUACUCAUUAUUGAAGAUGGACAGUCAUGAUGAAGAGCUGCCACGUGUCAAGAAAACUUACAGAAGUGAGAGGUCGUGCUUAAUAAAUAUGUUUGGGUGGUUAGAGUAUUCGAGGUUUGCAAUGUUCUCUGGUUUUUCUAGAAAGAAUAUGCUAAGGGUUUAUUAUUUGGCAAUGAAUCACUUCUUCAAAGUCGAGGCUCUGCCAGGAAUUGUAGGCCGAAGACCUCAGAAGUGAGAAGGGCAAUGUUUGGGCCUAAAAUAAUAUUUUGGGCCGAGCUUAGAGUUUUUCUUGACCUAGUAACAUUCAUCUAGAAUCUUUUCAUAGGUUGUCCAGUCAAGGUCGACCGAAUCCUAUUGCUAGAAAGCCUGGUUUAGAUAAGGGUGAAGUAGUAGAACCCUAGUGCAACAAGGAGUCUUAAAGCUGAAGCUGCUUAGAAUUAGGGGAUGAAUCUGAUUCAUUAAAGAGCUUGGUUCAAAGUCCUAUAGGGGAAAUGAUUGGUUGAAACCUGAUCAAAUUGGGUUGAGGAGUUAUAAUCCGAGUACAUUUCUAGUUCGGCCAUGAGGAAGGUUCGCUGCUAUAGAUAGAGAAAUGAGUGCAUCAUUCAAGGACUCUUCAAAUUAACACACAAAUUGCUGUGCGCAGAACUUCUCAACAACCUUGAGAUUUUUUCAUCUCCCAUUUUCUUCCUGCCGAUGACAUCUUCAGUUUGGAUAAACAGCAUUGGAGCUGUAGAAUCAACCGGCCAAGGAACACCUCCAAUUUGAUAAACAACACUACUUCGAGACCGAUUGGUUAUUAUCCAAGUCUCGGUUAACAAGGAUUUCGAAGUCCUUGUUGGUAGAGGUCAUCUCAUCAACCUUUUUGACGAAGUGAGGUGUUACCAGGUUACUAGGCUUAGCACAUUGAAAGCCGAGUUUUAUUUUAUGAUUGGAUAUUCACAAGUACAUUUUAGAGUUUGGCAUUCCGACGACCGAACCACUUUUACAAUCAAGACAUUUAUCUCUUUUGAGUAUUUGUGUCUGUACAGUUUGGUGCCAGUUCGGCGUACUUAUACUUUCACGAAUAUAAUUACCGAGACUGAACCCAGCGCUGAUAAUUUGUGAACUUCAAAGAGAUUAGCAGUCUUGUCUUCAAGCUCUAGAAUCCAAAGGCUAAGACAUGUUCCUUCCUCGGCCAUAGUCGCAAGAUCAAGAAGUCAAAACUCGGCCAAUGAGUUGGCAAGCCAUGCACACAACCGAAUAACGUAGUUAGCUUAUUAGUUACUCGGCAUGUGCGCCAUGUAGGCUUGGUAGUUUUUAGGGUCAACACAUACAUCAACUAAACACUCAAGACAUCCAUACCUUAUAUUGCCAUCCAAACAGGCGCUGAAUUGCCUCUGUGAGUCUUCCCGACCCCCAGAAGAGGUGGAUAACCGUAGCUUGCCACCAGCUGUCUUUCUUAAAAACAAUAAAAAUAAAUAAGCGCUGAAUUGCCAUUCAAACAGGCCCUAUAGUGCAGUGCAACCUACUAACUACUAAGGUGCCACUAAAACAAACAAUACUUAUCAAAUUCAAAAACCAAGAUUCACGUAUUGGGUCAACAGACAUAAGUACCAUGGACCAUACUACCUAGCAGACGGCAUUUAUCCAAAGUGGACAUCGUUUGUCAAAACAGUGCCACGUCCACAAAGUGAAAAGGAAAAACACUUUGCAAGCUGUCAAGAGGGGUGUAGGAAGGAUGUGGAGCGUUGUUUUAGUAUCCUCCAAGCUCGUUGGGCGAUUGUCAAGGGUGCUGCCAAUACAACCCGAAGUGAUUGCAAAAUUAUAGGCUCCGAUUAAAAACAAAUUCCCUAGUCCCUCGUGAAUGGAAAAUCAUCACUUAACCAAUUUGUGGUGCUAUGACCAUCUCCUUUUGCUCUCGCUUCUCUUGCAGGCCUCUUUAGCAUCACGUUCGCUUUCUUUGAAUUCUAAAAAUAUUUAGAAUUCGGAAACAUUGCCUCUUCAGGCUCCUUCAUAAUGCCACAAUCUUGUUGAGCCCUUAUUUCUUCAUUAAGCUCUUCCCUUUCUUGCCUAAGUAGAUCUCUUUCUCUCUCAUUAGCUUGAAAUAACCUCUUACCAGCUACAUCUUUUGCCUCAUCUCUAGCCUUAUCAGCCUCAAAUUUAGCCAUUUCCCAUGCCAAAGUCAAUUCACCUUGAUGAGCAAGUUCUUCCAUAUAUUUUGCAUAAUCUUUUUGGAAGCAGUCCAUUUUCUCUUUGAAGCCUUUUUACCUUGAGGCCUAAUUGGAUAACGGGUGGACCCCGACCCUUGUUCAAGGAUCACUUCCGGCAUUUGUUCUAUGUCGCUUUCAUGAACAUGUGAGUCAUGAUCUGGAGUAUAAUGUAUAUGGGUGUUGUUCAUGACAACUUCUAGACCGACAGACACAACUUUGAAUUUAGGACAAUUUUUACAAUAUUCCAACAUUCCCAUCUGGUGUAUGAUUUAUUUAUUUAUUUUUUUUUGGCAUUAUACCAAGCUUGUGCUUGAAGUGUCUACACAAUGCAGAAGAAGAAAUAAUUAUAAUUAAAGUAGCUAAUGUAAAUUUGGGUAUAGUACAAACAAAUAAAUAAUAUAUUGUUACCUGAUCCAUGAAAUUUUCUCCAUUUCGAAAAUUACUACUAGCUUGUGUCAAGGCGUUUCUCCAAUGAGUAAACGAUUGGCAGAGUAUUCUCCAACGACUGGACAUUGAUUCUUUCAUUCUUUUCUCACCAAUUUCCUCAAGAAAAAAUGUAUGAAUAAGACUCUACAUUUCUCGCAACUGCAUCUCAUUAGCUGUAAUCGGAUCAUGAGUAACUUCAACCCAGCUAGAACACAAUGUAACAUCUUCAAUAAGCAUCCAAUUCGUACCUGCAUCAUUAGUCAUUUUGUUGGAAACCAGUUGGAUUGAAACUUUGAGAGAAAGAUUGUAGUGUGGUUGAAAGUGUUUAUACCAUAUUUAGGGCCUCGUAUUUAGACCUCGUAUAAAUACUCGAGGGACUUAAAUGUAAUUAUGUGAUAAAGGAAGGGGCAAAUAUAUAAUAAGUGAGGAGUCCUUAUUCUAUAAAAUGAUCCCUCACCCUCACAAUUAGGGGAGGUCAACUUUUAGGCUUGAAACCCUCUCACAUCCCCUCUUAUAUUACAGAGGCUCUCUCCCUCACCUCUCAGAUAAAUACAUAAUCAGUGUGGACAUAGCCCAAACCUUGGGGUGAACCACGAUACAUCUUGUGUUAUUUACUUUACUUACAGAUUCACGGUUGGAUUUACGUUGUUCCAAGACCUCCGGUUUUGUGCAUCAACAUUUGGCGCCGUCUGUGGGAAUCGAUACGAAAAGUUGUGUCGGUUCUCUUUCAUUUUUUCAUAUCCGCCGUGAAUCUGCGAAAUCACAGAAACCCAGGAACCAUAGUCACUGCAAAACCCAUAUCUCAAAAUGCAGAAAUGAAAACUCUGAAACUCAACCACAGUUUUCUUUCUUUCUCUCUCUCUUGUUUCUGGGGUUGUGUGCUUUUUAGUCAUUGAGAUCUACAUCAAGAUGGGUUGUCCUGUUUUUUCCCACCUCGCUGAAAAAAAAAAACAAAACGAAAAAAAAACGGUAAGCCCAAAAUAAUGGGCUGCAAUGUCAUAUGGAGGAUGAAGGCCCAUAAGCCCAAAAUAGCACCAACCAAGCGACCAAAAGUACGCCCAGUACUACCAAAAUUAUUCGGCAACCUGCCGAUAUUACCAUCAACCAGGUGAUCAAAAAUACGCCCAGUACUUUAAAUUAUACAUGAGCAUUAUUCAUGUCAUUCAUACAUAAACAUUCAUGAGCAUCACUCAUGACAAUCAUACAUAAACAUUCAUAACCAUCAUUCAUGUUAACAUUCAUGAGCAUCACUCAUGACAACAUCCAUGAGCAUCACUCAUGUCAAGCAACAUAAACAUUCAAGAGCAUCACUCAUGUCAAUCAGCUUCAAAAGCUUCAUUUACAGAGCUCUAGCUUCAAAAGCUUCAUUUAUAAAAGCUCCAGCUUCGAAAGCUUCAUUUAUAGAGCUCUAGCUUCAAAGCUUCACUUGCAAAGCUUCACCUACAAAGCUUCAAUGCAGGGUAUACAAAUACAGCCUCCGAACAACCGCUACUUCGGCCCAUACAUAGAUUCAAUUUGAAGUAUCUAGCCAACAGACUCUAUUGACCGAAGACUUGGGGGAUUACAUUAUGUACCAUAUAUUGGGCCUCAACUGGGCCUCAUAAAAAAUACUUUGCGGACUCUAGCCAUCACUUAUGUAUUGAGGAACAAGCCCUUAUUUUAUUAAAAAUGACUCCCUCACCAUCAUUAGAGAGCAUCGCCGCCUACUGAGCAACCGCCUUGCCGCGAGCAUCAACUCUAGCCCAUAUUUAUGUAUUGAGGAGUGAGCCUUUAUACUAUAAAAAAGACUCCCUCACCUUCAAACGCCACAAGCCGAGCCAACCAAGGCAACAUAAGCCACGAGCCGAGCAGCCUCGUAGCGUGUGCUACUUCUAGUUGAGCGUCAUUUCAGAUUGAGCACUGCCUCAUAUCGAGCAUCAGUUCAAGACAGCAUCUAGUUACUUCGGCCCACACAUGGACUGAAUUUCAAGUCUCCAGUCAAAAGACUCUCUUGACUGAAGACUUGGGGGACUACUGUUUAUACCAUAUUUAGGGCCUCGUAUUUGGAGCUCGUAUAAAUACUCGAUGGACUUAAAUAUAAUUAUGUGAUAAAGGAAUGGGCAAAUAUGUAAUAAGUGAGCAGUCCUUAUUCUAUAAAAGGACCCAUCACCCUCCCAAUUAGGGGAGGCCAACUCUUAGGCUUGAAACCCUCUCACAUCCCCUCUUAUAUUACAGAGGCUCUCUCCCUCACCUCUCAGAUAAAUACAUAAUCAGUGUGAACGUAACCCAAACCUUGGGGUGAACCACGAUACAUCUUGUGUUAUUUACUUUACUUGCAGAUUCACGGUUGGAUUUACGUUGUUCCAAAACCUCCGGUUUUGUGCAUCAACAGAAAGUAUUUAAGAAAAUAUGAAAUUAUGGUGUAAGGUAGAAAAUAAUGAGAAUGUAUUUAUAGAAAAGUAAAAUCUUUUUAUUUUUUUCGGAUUUUUUAUUAAUUUUUAACAUUUUUAUUAACUUAAUUUAUUUAUGCCGGUGGAUUAAAAAAAAUUAAAUCCAAUCCUUCAAAUUGUGCCACGUGGCACAAUGAUAAUAUAUCUAAUUUUUUUUCCUUUUUAAAAAAUUUUUAAAGGUGAAUAACGUGGACCAUUAAUCUGAAAUUCAACGACUGAUAUUGUGUCACGUCAUCUAGCCGUUUAGGGGAAGUUUGAAAUUUUUUUUACCGUUGGAAAUCCAACUGUCCAUAAAAAGUAUCCGUUGAAAUCCAACGGACGAGAAGGUCUCACCUGCCCAAGGAAACAGUAACAAUUCAGACACCAUUCGCCGGAAUGUCGACCGCCACCGAUUUACAGCUACAUCCAGGCUAGAGGUUCGAUCGGACGGACGAGGAACUCGUGAACCACUAUUUCUGCCGGAAAUGAAGUCGCCGUUGACUUCUUUCCCGGUGAUCGCCGCUAUCGAACUCUACCAUUACAAACCCUGGGAUCACCCCGGUAAAAUUUCCCCCAAAUUUUCGUCAAAAUCUAAUUUCGAAAUUAAAAUUUGGGGUUGUACAGAUUUCUUCAUUUCUAUGUAUUUGUAAGCGAUUUCUUGUAAUUAAGUUGUUUUAAUGAUUAAUUAAUUUAUAGAUUUCUUACGAUUCUUCCUUAUUUCUUAAUGUUUUAGGGAUAUCUUGUCUAUUUAAUUAUGUUAAUUUAUUUGCGGUGCAGUUUUGACGCUAGACGGAGAGAAAGAGUGGUAUUUCUUUACGCAAAGGAACCGGAGGUACAAGAACGGUUCGAUGCCGAACAGGGCGGCCGGAAGUGGUUAGUGGUACGCGAGCGGAUGCAAGAAGUUGAUUGGGCAUCCGAAAUCGCUGGGGUCCAAAGGCCUUUGGUGUUCAAAAUCGGAAAACGACCGGGAGGCGAAAAGACUAACUGGCUUAUGGACGAGUACAGCCUCGCCGCCGGGAACCGCCCGACUGAGAAGAAGAAAGGCCAAUGGGUACACUAACCUCUCUCUCUCUCUCUCUCUCUCUCUCUCUCUAAACAAUUAGUCCAUUGCAAUUGCAUGGCCGCGAGAGUUCAAUUAGUCCAUUGGAAAAUUGAUUUAAAUUUUGCGACGGGCACGAAGGGUAUUAGCAUAAUUGUCAGGAAAUUAGUAAAUUUCAGCACCCAAACCAACACGUACAAUCCCUUCAAAGAGAAAGUUAAGUCAAAUUCUACAUGAUUCAGUACUUCACCUGGGAGGGUAAGAUCUAACGUUGGUUAAGAUAUAAUUAAGUCAAGGAUUAAUCAUUAAAGCAAGGGGAUAAAAGAUAAUCCCACAAUACAAAGAAGCCUAGAAGGGCAGCUUUCCACAUAAACUUGCAAUUGUCUAAAUUGCUUUCCGGGAAUCAUAUCAUUCACCACUAGUCACAAAAAAAGAUGAAUGAAUGAUGCUGCCCUUUUAGUGGUUUUAAUGACCUUCACUUCCAUCAUUACUUCAACAUAUUUCUGGUUUUUAGUGGUAUUAAUCGACUCAUCAUUCCACUAAUUGGGACUUUGCUCCCACUCAACAUAUAAAGAUUCAACCACCGUAGAAAACCUUUUUCUUCUUCUUCUUAAAAUUACAUCGCUCAUGAAAUUACGACCCAUUUAGUACUAUGGUUUGGUGGUAUUCAUCUUCACUUGUAAGUGAGAGGUCUUGGACUCGAAUCUCGUACAUGGCGAAUUCGAUAAUAAAUUAGGUUGUUUAUUGUGUGGCUUAGCUUAACUCCCCCUUCUCUUAGUGUAAAAUAUAUCAUUGUACUAAAAAAAAUUACGACCCUCAUAAAAUUAUUCGACUUUUUUAUAUUUUUAGUUUAAAGUUUAACAUAAAUAAGCUUAUUACUCUUUUUUUUUUUAAUACGUGCGGCAUUUUAUUUUAAAUUAAUUUUCUCAUUUUCUCUCCCUACACUACACACUUUUGUUGUGUUUUGGCCUUGAACUGAAUGAAUCAAAAGAAAACCUACAUACAAAUGUGUAAUAGAGAUAAGGUGUGUGAAAAACACUUUUCUUUCAUCAUAUGAUUAACUACUAUAAAAAUGCAAGAUAAAAACACGAGAGCUUCAACAGUGUAUCACUACCAUCACAUUUUAUUCAAAACGAGAGUCAUCUUCAUCAAUAAUUUAUCUCAUUUAAUCAUUCAACCAAAAAUCAUACAUUUACAAAAUUGUUCGUGCACUGGCAGAACCACCUUAAAGGCUACCAUGGGCUAUAGCUCAGGUAGCUUUCGGUGAAAAAUAUAUUACAGUUUACAAACCAUCUCUUUUUCUUAAAUCAUUUUUCUCAUCACUUCUUGUACAUAUAUAUUUCAAGUUUGAAUUUUAACACCUAUUUGUUUAGUAAUGAAAAGUUAUUGACUCAACUUGUGAAAAUUUUCUUAAACUGGCCAAUACUGUAAAAAAUACAUUAUCAAGUUUCUUUGGUUAUAAAGAUUUAAAUGUUUAAGCUAGCUCACCGGAUGACAAAUUAUUAACUCGGCUCUUGUGUCCGUAGAGACCAAAUAAUUACAUAAACGACAAAUGGAACUUUUUGUUCUUUUACCUUAACGACUGUUUGGUCACGAUGUUUCAAGAGAUAGCAAGAUUUGGCUGUUGAAUAAACAAAUUGUUUUGGUGGAAUUAACUAAUAAUUAUAUUAUAUAUAUUGGAAGAUCUGUGGUCAGCUUCCUUCCAACAACAACGUGUAAUACUUCGUUGUAUCAGGUUAAUUAACCUCCCCUAGUAAUUAACCAUUAAUUAUCAUGCAAAGCAUGUCUGUUAUGUCUUGUAUUCCAGACUGAUCUACCAGUCCACUCAUAAAUUCCAAUUAAGGUCGAUGCAGAAAAGUAAUUUUGCUUGGACAAUCAUCUAUAUGCGCGGGUAGGGCAAUUUUCAGCUGUUGAUACGGAGCCAACAAUUAAUUAAUGCAACUGCUUGCGCAUCAGCGAUUGUCUCUAACGUGAAUGUAAUUCUAUCGUUUUAAGUGGGAAUAAAAUAGCUUACAAUAGUAACUCGAUGAAAGUAUCACAAAAUAUUGGUCAUUUGUGGCAACAUGAGAGUAAGACUACAAUAGUAGUUCAACAACCAAACUUUUAAAGAUUUCUUUUUUAACUAAAAUAAAUCUAAUGGCAAAUAAUAUCUAUCUUAUUGAAAAAUUUAACAUGUUAUCAAAUUGUUCAUCUAAAGUAUUGAAGAGGUACAUUUUUAUUUAUUAAAGGAGACUUUGAAUGCGGUCCCUAGCUAUAAAUAUUCUUUGAUUGAAACUUUGUUGGUUUUCAAUUUUUGAUCGAAGUCUCUGAAAUUAAUGUGAUAAUUUAUUUCUAUGUACGUUACUAUAUUUUUUAAAUUAAAAAUUAAAAUUUUAGCUAUUUAUGUAAAUGAGAUUUUAAAUAAAAAACCAUAAUUUGUGGGAUUAAAAAUAUUAAAAUAUAAAUAUACUAUUGUGUGUGUGUGUGUGUAAACAUGAGUACAUUCAUCAAAAUUAACCAAAAAAUUAUUGUACCAAAACAUGGGUACAUUCUUCAAAAUCACAAAAAAAAAGAAGAUAUUAGGCUUAAAAAUGGAUUAGAAAAAAAAUUCUUUGAUUAAACUUGACAUGGAUACAUUUAAAAAAAAGAAAAAGAAUGUACCCAUAUAAGUUUAAAAAUGGAUUUAAAAAAAUUGAAUAGAUUACAUAUAAAAAAAAGGGUACAUUUUACAUAUAACAAAUUGAUAUAUUUAAGAAUGAGUACAUUUUAAGAUUAAAAAUUUGAAAAAAUUACAUGAAUGGGUACAUAUAACUAGCAUGGGUACAUUUGGCAAAAAAAAAAAAGAAAGGGAACAAAUAAAUUUAAAAAAAAAGGGUACAAAUACAAAUAAAACUUUAAAAAUAUGGGCACAAAAAGAAAUUAAUAUAUGGGUACAAAUUAAAACUGAAAAGAAAAUUGGUAUAAAUUAAAAAUGGGUACAAACUAAAACAAAAAAUAUAUGAUAAAAAAUUUAGUCAUAAAUAUAAAUAUACUAAUUGUAACAUUUUUAACAUUAAAUGAAUAUAUUAAGAAAUAAAAAAUAUUUUAUUAUUCAAAUAAUUAAUGAUGUUAUUAAUACCCAAGGACCCUGAUAAAAAAUUGAAAAGAAAUAGGAUUUUAAUCAAUGGAAUAGCAAAAGGAAGGAUGAGAACCUAAUUUCUCCUUUAUUAAAUUAUAUAGAGCUCGUUUGAAUGUGCUUUUAAAAUGGCUAAAAGCGCUUUUAGAGAAAAUGUUUUGGUGCUUCUUCCAGGAAGCACUUUAAGUGCUUUUCCAAAAUUUACUUGCAUUUUUACUAAGAAUUGGUUCCAAAAACAUUUUCACCAAAAACGCUUUCAGUCAUUUUAAAAGCAUAUCCAAACAAGCACAUAGUGUUGUUGUUGGAGAUUGUAGCUCAUGGGAUGGUUGUUCAAGAUUGUAUUCUCCUUGGGUCACCUAAUGCUUGACCAAAUGGGUGAUUAAUAUAUCCACAUUAUUUUAUAUAUUUUAUUUAUUUAUUCUUAACGAAUGUUGUAUUUUCUAAAUAGAAUUUUAUGAGCACCAAGUAUUUUAUUUACUGCAUCAUAUUUAUAAUUAUAAUUAUGUGUUAGCGUGUUUUUUUAAGAUGAGACCAAGAAAAAUUAUAACUUACUAUAAUAUAGAGUUUAUUUCAAUACACAAUUGAUUCUAAGUUGAGACCGAAAUUUUUUAUGAUUUUAAAGAGGUUAUUUCAUUAUAGAAUAUUAUUUUAAAAGAGUUUUACUGUAAUAUAUUAUGUUACAUCGCCAAGAUUCAUUCCCUAUAUAUAUAUAUAUAUAUAACUAUUAUUAAUACUCUAAAAAUCUCAAUUCACACUCCUUAUAAGUGUAUUUUUCUUUCUAAUUAUUGAACGUUUGGAGUGCAAAACGAGAGUUUUGGAGUGUCAAUAAUAUUUCCCUAUAUAUAACAAUUACAUAUUUAUAAUAUUAGAUAUUAUUUUAGUAAUUUUUAUUAAUCAUAUAGUAGAUUCCGGACAAUUUAUUAUAUUUAUCAUUGAUCUCCAGGAUUAGAUUUGAUCUUGGUGUGCUUAAUGAAGGUUUAGGGCACUUGGCUAACACUAUGAAACACCAAUUAAUAUGCUGUAAAGUGGAAAAGGAAACCCUUAUUAAUCAACACUAACCUUUACUUGGAUUAGUAAUAACUUCCAUCACACACAAGAAAACUAGACAACUCACAAACCAUCCAUCAAAGUGUUUUUUUUUUAUAAACAAACGAUAAUAUCUCCACUAAGGAGGUGGAAGAAUGGUACAAUAGGCUUGCCAUAAUAAUGUGUUUCAACUUUACUUUUAGUGAGAAUCGAACCUAAAACUCUCACCAAGUGAAGAAGAAUAGCACUAGACCGUGUGGAUGCAAAUUUCCGUCUUCUUCUUCUUGGACAAAAUUGCACCUACAAAACAAUUAACACUUAGGGUCAAGGCCAAGAGCCUCACGCACCCACGAUGAAUGGGGGAGUUUUGGCCGAAGAACCUCCGAUGUCAAAGUUAGAAUUUAGAGAGUUUUUGGAGUUUUACAAGAGUGUCGGAGCUCCCUUUUGGGAGAGAAUGGUGAGCUAUAUAUAAGGAUAUGGCCGGCCCUAUUAGGAGAAUAGGGACAUGCCAUUUAGGUAUUUUUUGGGUGUAAAUUGUGGUUAAUUAGCAAUUAAUAUAUUGAUUAGGAAUAUAUAUAUUAAUUGGCUAAUUAACAUAAUAAAGGAAUGUUUUUGGGAGGUUAUGUAAUUUAUAGCUUAAUUGAUUAGAUAAAAGAGGGAAAAAGAGGUAAAAAUAUUUGGAAUGAGAUAGGUUUUGGGAAUUAUCUUGUAAAAGGGAUUUGAUGAGACGGAUUUUGAAUUGUUACAUUUUUUGGGCAUUUUUGACUUGGUUGAGAGAUGAUUGUACGCUGCUCGCGCGUAAGAAUCCCGAUAUGCAUCAAGGGUGUUUUUGUCCUCUUUUAUCCAAAAUCCACGUGUCGCUUUGUAAUUAUUUUUGGUUCCACAAACCGUAGUACUAAGUGACUCCAUCAAAGUAUUCUCAAACCCUUUACCACAACAAGUGAUUCAGUGAUAAGGACGCAGACUGCGGCUCCCCAAUAAACCAAAAAAAAAAAAAUUAUGAUUUACCACAAAUUGUUCCCUUUUUGAAAAGAAAAAGAAAAAAGUAUUCUCAAACCCCUUACGUUUACCAUUUUAUCCUUGUCCCACGUAGGCAAGGAAGAAAAUAUCAAUAAUAUCGGCGAUAUAUCGCCGAUAUUAUCGGUUUUUCCCCAAACCGAUAUUUUAAGUGGUAUCCAAGGGGUUUUCCUCAAAAUUUCGCGAUAAUAUCGAUAAUAUCGCGAUAUUAUCGAUAUUAUCGUGAAAUUUCGGAACUGUGCAAGUCGGAGACGAACGCCGGAGCUUCUACAGCUCCGGCCGACUGUAAAACAACCCCCUAGACUCCAAUCUAGGUAUGAAAAUGAAAUAGAAGACGAGAUGAACGUUUUUAUAACGUCCGUUUUCCGUGAAACGGCCGGAGGUGUUCGGAAAGUUCGUCGACACCCACGGCCUCACCGGAGAUGGGUGUGCCUAUUCCCGAGUCAAUUUCAUCCCAAAAACCUUGCCAAAAGAUGAGAUAGAACUUCAAUUUCACAUCUAAGCUUCGAUCUAGAACAUAAAAAGAAAAACCCGAAGCUUACCUAACCGGAGAAAUUGAAGGAACUCGCCGGAGGGUUCCUGUGUUCGCCGAGUUGCAGAGACGAGAGGAGAGGGAGAAAGACGAGGGUUCCUGUGUUCGCCUGAUCUAACGAAUGAUCAAUCUGGAGUGGUACGACGACGAGGAGAUAGAGGAGGGGGAAAAGGAAGAGGAAGGGGAAGGCGACGUCGUAAAGGCGGAGUCGUCGUCUUCGAUUAGCUUCUCCGAUUUGACGAAAUCGAUGACGAUAGCGUCUAGGGCUUCCCAAUUAAUUGGCGUCGAGUCCAUUUUUUGGAAUUUUCUAGGAAAAUUUUGGACUGUUUGGUUGGAAGGAAAAUGACUAGAGAAAGAGAGAGAGGUGGAGGCUCGGAGGGGAAAAUAUUAUGUGAAACGAAGGGAAGACACGAGGUCUUUCGUAAAUUAGAGGGCAGAGAGGUGCGAGUAAUGUUAGUGUCACCGUGUGGGUGAUUUAGGUUUUUUACUGACUUGUACGUGGACGUCUUGAGGUGUGCAAAAUAUCUAAUCUGAUAUGAUUUGAUCUGCGCACAUUUGACGUAUACGGAUCUGGAAAAUAUAUAUAACAAAAUGGUAAUUUUCUUAUUUUUUUUUUAUAUAAAGAAUGAGUACAUUAUAAAUAAGUUGUGAUUACAUAUGUGUUUGUGAUUACAUAUUCAGCCUGUAAUAUUUAUAUGGUCGUUAAGAUGUCUGCAAGGCUUGCAAGCUAAUAUUUAUUAUCUAGGAUAAAUUUCUAUAUUUAAAAAAAAACACCAGGGGAUUCGAACCCCUCCCAUUUUACUCCUUCAACAUAGUGAAAAUUUUGAACCUCAUAAGAAUUCUAUGUGGUACUAAGUCACUCAUGUAUCUUACCAUACAAUGUAUAAAGUGUAAAAUAUUGUACUAAUUCAUUAUAUAUAAAUGAUUAUGGUGUGUUUAAACUUCUUUCAUUAAUUACUAUAUAUUUUCUACACUCACAAUGUUUGCCAACUCGCUAUAUAAUCAACUUAAAUCAGUUAAAUCCAUUAUGCAAUGCAUUUCCUUCCAAUUUUUUGUGAUAAAUUAAUAGAUAAUUGACUAAAUAAACAUCCUGCAAAGUUUCAAUAAAAAUUUCCAAGUUUUUCUUACAAUUUCCGUGGUUUCCAUGUAAUUUUUAUCGAUAUCGAUAUUAUCCCGAUAUUUCCAUCGAUAUUUCCGUGUUUUCGGACUACCGAUAUUUUCUUCCUUGCACGUAGGGAACAUUUUACCAUACUGGUAACUCAAAACAAAAUUUCACUAGACGACAACACCAUGGUAACUGAAAACAAAAGUAUCCCCAUCAGAAUUAAAAGAAAAAAAAAUACAAACAAAUUAUUUACUUAGAAAAAUCCAAGCUAGCACAAAUUCCGAAGAGCAAACAAUUGGCUUAACUUACCGGCUGAGCCCCUCACCCAAUUGCUUUCUUUAUGUUCUAACCAACCUUCCCAUUACCAAAAGAUCAAAACUUUAGUAUGCACCCCUUUAUAAUAUAAAUUAAUAUGAGAGCUGCUAAACCCACCCCGUUGUCUUAUUUCCCCACCUACGUUAUAUUUACACCCACUAUAAAAAGUUAAAAAAUUAAAAUGUUAUUUUCUCACCCACUAUUAUUCCUAAAAUAACCCUAUAUAUAAUUAGAGAUAAAUUUCUCUAAAAUUUAAUGAAGCUACUCCCCAUUAAUUCAGAAAACAAUAAACCCCAGUGAUAAACCAUAAACGAAAUUGACCAAAAAGGAACAACCUCGGAUACAGCAGCAGCAGCAAUACAUGUUCAUUGCCUGUAUACUUUUUUUAGUCACAUUGUUGUCUGUUUUGUUUCUAAUGGGAUAAAUUUUCACAAUUCAGUACCAACUACGAAGAGCUUCGCUAACAGAGGAUGAUGCCCUUGCAUUUCUAAAGGCUGAUAAUCUUGGUGAUUACAGAACCUAUUCAAGUUUCUGUGGAACACUUCGACGGGUUCGAUAUCAACUAACCAAUUGGAAAAUUUACUAAAAGGCAAAGAUUCAGAGCAAGAUUGUGACGCUGUUCGUGGAACCUCCUCAGCCCUCGCUAACAGGUUCGAUAUCAAUUAACCAAUUGCAAAAUUUUCCCUAACCUAAUUAAAACAAUUCCAACAAAUUCUAGGAAUUCUCAUAGGAAAACAUGAAACAAAUUGUACCCUAUAACCUAAUGCAAAUUCAAAUAAAAAGUCACAGAGCUAUGCUUCAAUUAUUUAUGUCGACGAAUCAAGAUGGUCCACAUAAAAUUAUCUUUUACCUGUUCGACGGAAACAUAGUCAUCUACUUGUUCUAUAGAAAUGUUAUCUUCUAAAUUCAUUCUUUUUGCUUUCUUUGAAUGAAAGGGGAUGAAAAGGAUGAGUUAGGGUUUAUGGGAGACAAAUUUUCUAAACUUUUCUUUUUUAUAAAAAAAAAAUUAAUGCAAAAAGGAGUAAGUAAGGUCCAUAUUAGUCAUUUUACAAAUGGAUAAAUUUGUAAUUAAAAAAUUCAUAAAAAGGUGGGUGGGGAAAUAAGACACCGGGGUGGGAAUAUCACCACUCAUUAAUAUUCAAGUGCCACAUAAUUUUUUUUUUCUCAAAUAAGUCCUCAAAUUUAAAAAAGAACUGUUAUUAGCACUUUAUAAUUCUUAUUUUGCACUCUUUUGAAGUGUGUGUGUGUGUGUAUAUAUAUAUAUAUAUAAUUUUUUUUUACAAGAGGACAAGUGGUGUCAAACCACGAUUAUUCACCAAUUUGGGGCCCGGAGAGGCUAUGGGGAAUUUUACCCUGUCCGUAACAACAUUUAAGUAGACUUACUAACUCGGGGUAUCGAACUUGGACCUCCCACAUUUAUUUGUUUAUUGGGAACCUCCCAUAUUUUUUUAAAGUAUAUUUUCUUUCUAAAUAUAAAAAAUUUAAAGUGCGAAAUGAAAAUUUUAGAUUACUAAUAAUAAAUUCACAUUAAAAAAUAGUAACAUUUUGUAAAUUUAGAGACUCACUGUCCCACUUCUUUUUAUUAUCAUAAUUAGUCUUUCUCAACUUUUUUUUUUCAAAGUUAAAAUAUUAAAAAAAGCUCACUUGAUGGAAAAUAGUAAAUAAAUACUAAGAUUUGUUGAAUAUGUUGGAGCAAAAUUGUAACAAAUUUUAGUUUUCAAAUUGAAAUUGGCAUAUGGUCCAACAAAUUUGUAUUUGUAGAAACUGUUGCUGAUGAUAUAAAGGUUUGUUUACUUAUUAGUAAUGCGAUGAAAAAAAGGAAUAGGUUCCUUUCAUGAUUUUUCUUGUGUUUACUUGCAUGUAAUUGGAUUACCUAAAACUCGUUAUGAAAAUAACCCAAUUUCAAGAAUUUGAUUAGCUAGAGGGAGGUGUUUAUCCAAUUCCCUAUCUUUACUUUUUCUCAUUUCGAAGAUAUUUGGUUUGUUAAUUCCCCAUUACUAAUAAGUAAACGAGGCAUAAAUUUUUAGCAGUUAAAUAUUCUCUGAUUGCUAAAUGUUAACGCAUAAAGAAAUUUAUAAUAAAAUGUAUUGCACAUUGGCAUAGUCUUAUUGGGUAUUGAAUUCCACAUAUAUUUCAAGAGACGACAUAUAAGUUUUAGGGAAAAGAAAAAGUCCACAAGUCAAAGUUAAACAAAUUUUAAAUUUCAGAAAAUAAAAUAAUAAUUUUUUAGUUUAAUUAAAAAAAUUUCAAAAAGUGUAGCUAAAAAUAAAAAAAAACUAAUAAAAAGGGUUUGAAAACUUUGAGUUUUAACGAAAAUGACAAAAUAAAGGGUAAAGUGUAUAGUACUGGGAUUGAUUUUUUAAUGUAAAAAUAUAAUUUUUCGUUAAAAUAAACAAUACAAAUAAUUUUUCGUUAAAGUUCUUUAAAAAUAAUCUAUCUACAAAUCGAAAAAAAAUUGGGUAAAAAGACACAGGACAAAGAAAAAAAUAAAAAACCAAAAAUGCACACACAUGGAAAGGAAACGAAAAGACUAAAGACUCUCUCUCUUACUCUGUCCUCCCACCAUUUCCACACUCACUUUCUCUCCAUCGGCUUCUUCUUCUUUCUUCGCGUAGCUCCCGCGUCCAGGUCGUUCGAGGGCACUGAAUCUAUUUCUAGGUAUUUUUGUUUGGGGAAUCACAAUUUUACGCAUUUUUGUUUCGAACAAUUUGUGUAAAAUUUGAUUUGCAAAUGGACGAUUUUAUUGCCCUAGAUUCUGUGAUGCUGCUGUGAUCUGAUCUUGGAACUAGUCCUUAAUUGUAUUUAAUUCUUGUGUUUCUGUAAAUUUGCAAUUAGUUACGUUGUUUGUACUGAAUUUUAGUUAAUCCAAUUGGUAAAUUUUGCUAACUGUGAUUUGUGGGCAUGAAGAUCUGAUCAUUUGGUUCAAUUUUGGAUUGUUUUUUUGGUGUGCAGAGUGUUGGGUUCGAUUUGGAGUGGGAAGUGAGUUUGCAUUGUGUGGGGUUGCACUGUAGCAUUGUGCCUUUUUGAACAGUGUUAGUGUGUUUGUAAAGUAAAUGUGUUUGUGUUGAAGGAGGGCUGGUAUUGGAUGGUGAGGUGAUGAUGUGAUGCUACUUAGGCAGAGAAACUGGGUUUUAGGAUUGUCGGAAGGAGGGGAGUUCUUCGACAUUUGCAUUAUUGGUGGACUGAGGUAUUUUUCUUUGAUCUCCAUAAGUUGUAUUUGUUUCGUAUUUAUCUGGUUUUUGAAAAUUUUCAUGUCGGGCAAAGUACCUUUUUUAUAAUUCGGUUGUGAUCUUUAAGGGCCAUGAUGAUUUUCUUUUUCGUGCUUUUCAAUAGGGAUAAAAAUCAAAGAGAGGGAAUAGAGAUGAAAGGAAGGAGAGGAGAGGGAGCAAGAGAGCAAAAAUAUAUAUAGAAUGAAACCAAAAACCUUAUAGUUGUUUUUAAUUUGUGUUAAAAGUCAUUAGAUGUAUUUUCCUUAUUAAACAAAAAAAACCAUUACCAUAGUUUUGAUGAAAUAUUGUGAAGUAUUUGCAGCUUCAGGUCACCCAAUUUUAAGGUUGUUUCAUUUGAUGAACAAUUAAAAUAUUUUAAUUUUCAGGUGGGCAAGGAGAAAUAUGAAAGUGGCAUACGGUGCAAAUGUCAAAGUCUCCCUCCCCUAAACUGCGACCCAUAUCUUCUUCUACUUCACAGUCUAGGUUAGACAUGUUCUAUUUGCUUGGUCUCUUUAACUGUGGUGACAAAUUGGUCUUUGAUAGUUCAGAAAAUGAAUGAUGCACUGAUAAAUUUACUUGAGUGCUCCUUAAGUUUUUUAUUUUUUUUAUUUUUAUCCCAGUCUUUAUAAAUAAGCUGGAGAAACAAAAUCGAUUCUUCUUAAACUCUUUAGUUGCACAAUUGUUGAUUAUUCCUUUGCAAUAUAUUCAAAUGGUUCAUAUUUCACCCAGGGUUUUAAAGGAACCAGCAAUGGAUGAUGAAGAAGGUACAAUGGCAAGAGUUGCUCAAUUUGUCGAGCAACUACAUGCCAGCAUGUCUACACCGAAAGAAAAAGAACUUAUUACAGCUCGAUUGCUUGGUAUUUCCAAAGCAAGAAAGGAUGCAAGAGCAAUUAUUGGUUCGCAUUCCCAGGCAAUGCCAUUGUUCAUAAGCAUUCUCAGGAAUGGCACCCCUGCGGCAAAAGUUAAUGUGGCUGCAACUUUGAGUGUCCUGUGUAAAGAUGAAGACUUGCGUCUUAAAGUACUUCUAGGCGGAUGCAUCCCCGCUUUACUCUCACUUUUGAAGUCUGAAUCAAUUGAGGCUAGGAAGGCAGCAGCAGAAGCUAUAUACGAAGUUUCCUCUGGUGGGCUUUCAGAUGAUCAUGUAGGCAUAAAAAUAUUUAUUACAGAAGGUGUAGUACCAAACUUGUGGAAUCAACUCAAUCCAAAGAGCAAGCAGGACAAAGUGGUUGAAGGUUUUGUGACAGGGGCUUUGAGAAAUCUUUGUGGUGACAAGGAUGGUUACUGGAGAGCAACACUUGAGGCUGGUGGAGUAGAUAUCAUUGUGGGUCUUCUGUCUUCUGACAAUGCUGCUGCCCAGUCCAAUGCUGCCUCCCUUUUGGCCCGUCUUAUGUUGGCUUUCAGUGAUAGCAUCCCCAAAGUAAUAGAUUCUGGAGCUGUCAAAGCUUUGCUUUGGCUUGUGGGUCAGGAAAAUGAUGUUUCUGUUCGUGCUAGUGCUGCUGAUGCUCUGGAAGCCCUUUCUUCAAAGUCAACUGGGGCUAAAAAGGCUAUUGUGAAUGCAGAUGGUCUUCGAGUUCUAAUUGGGGCUAUAGUUGCUCCAUCUAAAGAAUGCAUGCAAGGUGAGUGUGGGCAGGCUCUUCAAGACCAUGCCACACGGGCUUUAGCAAAUAUUUGUGGCGGGAUGUCUGCUUUAAUUUUGUAUCUUGGAGAACUUUCACAGUCACCUCGCCUAGCUGCCCCGGUUGCUGAUAUUAUUGGAGCUCUUGCAUACACACUGAUGGUCUUUGAGCACAAUUCUGGUGCGGAUCAGGAUUCUGUUAAUGUAACAAAGAUAGAGGAUAUUCUUGUAAUGCUGCUAAAGCCUCGGGACAAUAAGCUUGUUCAAGAGCGUGUCCUUGAGGCCAUGGCUAGUCUAUAUGGCAACAACUAUCUCUCCAGUUGGCUCAAUCAUGCACAGGCAAAGAAGGUGCUCAUUGGACUUAUAACAAUGGCUGCUGUUGACGUGCAAGAGUAUCUUAUACCCUCUUUGACAAGCUUAUGCUGUGAUGGUGUUGGAAUAUGGGAGUCCAUUGGCAAGAGAGAAGGAAUUCAGUUACUUAUUUCACUGUUGGGGUUAUCCAGUGAGCAGCAUCAAGAAUAUGCUGUUCAGUUGCUGGCCAUCUUAACUGACCAAGUUGAUGACAGCAAGUGGGCUAUUACUGCUGCCGGUGGGAUUCCUCCUCUGGUACAGUUAUUAGAGACGGGUUCUCAGAAGGCGAAAGAGGAUGCCGCUCAUGUGUUGUGGAAUUUGUGCUGUCACAGUGAAGAUAUCCGUGCAUGUGUUGAAAGUGCAGGAGCCAUCCCAGCAUUUUUAUGGCUUCUGAAAAGUGGUGGGUCAAGAGGACAAGAAGCAUCAGCCAAGGCACUCACAAAGCUUGUCCGGACAGCUGAUUCUGCUACCAUUAAUCAGUUGUUAGUUUUGCUCCUCGGUGACUCUCCAAGCUCAAAGGCCCACACUAUCAGGGUAUUGGGUCAUGCACUCAUAAUGGCCUCACACAAGGAUCUUGUGCAUAAAGGUUCAGCAGCUAAUAAAGGGCUGAGGUCUCUUGUCCAGGUUCUCAAUUCAUCAAAUGAAGAAACUCAAGAGUAUGCUGCUUCUGUCCUAGCUGAUCUAUUCAGCACAAGACAAGAUAUUUGUGAUACUCUUGCUACUGAUGAGAUCGUGCAUCCUUGCAUGAAGCUAUUGACCAGCAACACACAAGGUGUUGCAACACAAUCAGCUCGAGCAUUGGGUGCUCUGUCCCGUCCUAUGAAGACCAAACCAAGAAGCAAGAUGUCUUAUAUUGCAGAAGGUGAUGUCAAGCCCCUUAUCAGACUUGCUAAAACUUCUUCCAUUGAUGCUGUUGAAACUGCAGUUGCCGCACUUGCCAAUCUUCUCUCUGAUCCCCAGAUUGCUGCAGAAGCCCUGGCAGAAGAUGUUGUUUCAGCUUUGAUAAGAGUACUGGGUGAUGGAACUUCAGAAGGUAAGAAGAAUGCAUCCCGUGCGCUUCAUCAAUUGCUGAAGCAUUUUCCAAUAGGUGAUUUGCUCACAGGAAAUGCUCAGUGUCGUUUUGCUAUGCUUGCUAUUGUUGAUUCCUUAAAUGCAUUGGAUAUGGAUGGGACUGAUGCUGCGGAUGCUUUAGAAGUAGUUUCCCUUUUGGCUAGAACAAAACAGGGCGUGAACUUCACUUACCCUCCAUGGUCUGCCCUUGCUGAAGUUCCAUCAAGCUUAGAACCUCUUGUUCGCUGCCUGGCUGAAGGGCCUCCCCCGCUUCAGGAUAAGGCAAUAGAAAUUUUAUCUAGGCUUUGCGGUGAGCAGCCAGUUGUGCUUGGUGAUCUAUUGAUUGAAAGAUCAAGCUCUCUUGGUUCACUAGCUAACAGGGUAAUGAACUCAUCUAGUCUAGAAAUCAGAGUUGGAGGAGCUGCAUUACUUAUUUGUGCAGCAAAAGAGCACAAACAGAAGGCACUCGAAGUACUUGAUGUGUCAGGAUAUUUGGAACCAUUAACGUAUGCUUUAGUGGACAUGGUGAAGCGAAAGUCUAGCUGCUCCUUUCCAGAAAUUGAAGUCAGAACUCCUAGAGGUUUUAUUGAAAGAACUGCAUUCCAUGAAGGUGAUGAGUUUGAUGUCCCUGAUCCAGCCAUUGUUUUGGGGGGUACUGUUGCCUUGUGGUUGCUAUGCAUAAUUGGUUCCUUUCAUGCCAAGAGCAAACUCACCAUUAUGGAAGCUGGUGGUCUUGAGGUUCUAUCUGAAAAGCUCGCAGGUUACACUUCCAAUCCACAGGUAUUAACUAAUUAGCUUCAUAGUUGUAGUUCCAUGUUUAGAUACUUUUUGGUACAGAUAUUUGAAAUAUAAAUUUUUGUAGCUUACUAGAUUGGUCAUCUUUAUGAACAGGCAGAAUAUGAGGAUACAGAAGGUAUAUGGAUUAGUGCCCUGGUCCUGGCUAUUCUGUUUGAAGAUGCAAAUGUUGUUCUGUCACCUGUAACAAUGCGCAUCAUUCCUUCACUUGCUCUUCUUUUGAAAUCGGAUGAGAUGAUUGAUAGGUUCUUUGCUGCCCAGUCAAUGGCCAGUCUUGUUUCUAAUGGUAGUAAAGGAAUAAUUCUUGCCCUUGCAAAUUCGGGUGCUGUUGUUGGAUUGAUAACUCUUAUUGGUUAUGUAGAGUCCGACGUGCCUAACCUUGUUACUUUAUCAGAAGAGUUUUCUCUGGUGCGAAAUCCUGAUCAAGUUGUUUUGGAGUGCCUUUUUGAUUUUGAAGACAUAAGAGUUGGAUCAACAGCACGUAAAUCCAUACCUCUCUUGGUGGAUCUCUUGAGACCAAUGCCAGAACGGCCCGGUGCCCCUCCAAUUGCUGUUAAACUCUUGACUCGUAUCGCCAAUGGAAGCGAUACAAAUAAGUUAAUUGUGGGUGAAGCUGGAGCUCUGGAUGCUCUGACAAAGUACCUGUCUCUGAGUCCACAAGACUCCACCGAAGCCACAAUAACUGAAUUAUUCAGAAUUUUAUUUAGCAAUCCUGAUCUCAUUCGAUAUGAAGCAUCAGCUAGUUCGUUGAAUCAACUCAUAGCUGUUCUGCGACUGGGUUCAAGAAAUGCAAGAUAUAGUGCUGCCAGAGCUCUUCAUGAACUAUUUGGUGCUGAGAACAUUAGAGAUUCUGAUUUAGCCAGGCACUCAAUUCAGCCAUUGGUUGACAUGCUUAAUGCUGCAUCAGAGAGUGAACAAGAGGCUGCCCUCAUUGCAUUAAUAAAGUUGACUUCAGGAAAUUCUUCUAAAGCAGCUUUGUUGACUGAUGUGGGGGGAAACCCAAUGGAGAGUUUGUACAAAAUACUGUCUUCUGCUUCAUCCUUGGAAUUAAAGAGAACUGCUGCACAACUCUGUUGUACUUUGUUUGUUAAUACUGAAGUCAGAGGAAAUCCAAUUGCCUCAGAAUGCAUAGAGCCCCUUAUAUCACUGAUGCAUGCUGAUGCUACUACAGCUGUAGAAGCUGGAGUUUGUGCUUUUGAAAAAUUGUUGGAUGAUGAACACCGGGUGGAGCUUGCAAUGGCCUAUAAUGUUGUGGAUCUCCUUGUUGGAUUAGUUUCUGGAACAAGCAUGCAGCUCAUUGAGGCCAGUGUCUGUUCUCUCAUAAAGUUAGGGAAAGACCGGACCCCAUGCAAAUUGGAUAUGGUAAAUGCUGGAAUCAUUGAUAAAUGUCUUGAACUACUACCUGUUGCACCCAGUUCAUUAUGCUCUUCCAUAGCUGAAUUGUUCCGCAUUUUAACAAAUAGUAAUGCAAUUGCUAGAAGUUUGGCUGCUGCACAAAUUGUAGAACCUCUUUUUAUAGUUUUACAACGUCCAGAUUUCAAUUUAUGGGGACAGCACAGUGCAUUACAAGCACUAGUAAAUAUUUUGGAGAAGCCACAGAGCCUUGCAACGUUAAAGCUUACACCUAGCCAAGUGAUCGAGCCUCUUAUUUCAUUUCUGGAAUCCCCAUCUCAAGCCAUUCAGCAGCUUGGCACAGAAUUGCUAUCUCAUCUUCUUGCACAAGAACAUUUUCAGCUAGAUAUUACAACAAAAAAUGCAGUUGUUCCACUCGUUCAGCUUGCUGGAAUUGGAAUAUUAAACUUACAGCAGACAGCGGUAAAGGCAUUGGAAAUAAUCUCCACAAGCUGGCCAAAGGCAGUUGCCGAUGCUGGUGGUAUAUUUGAGCUUGGAAAGGUUAUUAUUCAAGAUGACCCUCAGCCACCUCAUGCCCUGUGGGAAUCAGCUGCUUUAGUUCUCUCAAAUGUUCUGCACUUCAAUGCUGAAUACUAUUUUAAGGUUCCUGUGGUGGUUCUUGUUAAAAUGUUGCAUUCAACAGUGGACAGCACCAUCACGGUGGCCCUCAAUGCGUUGCUUGUUCAUGAAAGGAGUGAUAAUUUAAGUGCUGAACAGAUGACUGAUGGUGGUGCUAUAGAAGCCUUGUUGGACCUUUUACGGUCUCAUCAAUGCGAAGAAGCAUCUGGAAGAUUACUUGAAGCUCUAUUUAACAAUGUCAGGAUACGACAAAUGAAGGUCUCUAAGUAUGCAAUAGCACCACUAUCACAGUAUCUGUUGGAUCCACAAACCAAAUCAGAGUCUGGAAAACUUCUUGCUGCUCUUGCUCUUGGAGACCUUUCCCAACAUGAAGGGCUUGCAAGAGCCAGAGAUUCCAUUUCUGCAUGUCGUGCAUUGGUAAGCUUGCUUGAAGAACAGCCAACAGAAGAGAUGAAAAUGGUGUCAAUUUGUGCAUUGCAAAACUUCGUCGUGAACAGCCGAACGAAUAGGCGAGCUGUCGCAGAAGCAGGGGGCAUACUGAUUAUUCAAGAACUACUACUGUCUCCCAAUGCAGAAACUGCUGGGCAGGCAGCAUUGCUUAUCAAAUUUUUGUUUUCUAAUCACACACUCCAAGAGUAUGUAUCAAAUGAACUUGUCAGAUCUUUGACAGGUAAUUCACGUUUGCAUCAUUAUUUGGUUUCGAAUGCUGAUUUUUCCCCUAUAAACUAAAAGACUGACAUAUGAUAUUCAUCAACUUCCCUUUAUUUCUUUCUUCUGUUGACUUUUUGGAUCCCAUGCCGUGUCUUGCAGCUGCAUUGGAGAGAGAGUUGUGGUCCUCAGCAACUAUUAAUGAAGAGGUCUUGAGAGCCUUACAUAUGAUAUUCAUCAACUUCCCAAAGCUCCAUAUUUCUGAAGCAGCCACUCUCUGCAUUCCCAAUUUGAUCGGGGCUCUUAAAUCUGGUAGCGACACGGCUCAGGAUGUUGUUUUGGACACCCUUUCCCUGUUGAGACAUUCUUGGUCAACCAUGCCAAUAGAUAUUGCAAAGUCUCAGGCUGUGAUUGCUGCUGAAGCCAUUCCCAUCCUACAAAUGCUCAUGAGAACCUGUCCUCCAAGUUUCCAUGAGAGAGCAGACAGCCUGUUGCAUUGCUUACCAGGUUGUUUGACGGUUACAAUUAAGCGGGGCAACAACCUUAAACAGGCCAUGGGAGGCACAAAUGCUUUUUGUCGAUUGACAAUAGGCAAUGGCCCUCCUCGACAAACCAAGGUAAUGGUUCCAUAGACUAGUUAUGUACAACAUGAAAAAAAAGAAACUGUCUAUUGCAUAACCUACAUGUUUGGAUUCAAUCAUUUUUCUUCUUUUCAUUCUUUUCCUCCAUUUACGAGGUACGGUUGAAGCCUCUUUAGAGCACCUGACAAAUCUUAGGGGUACCCUUAAUCCCAUAAACACUGGAUAUUGGAUAUUAUACUAUUGCUACUGCGACGACUUUGCAGCAUCUAAAAUCUGCAAUAGAAUUUUGAUAACAUAGCAAUGCCUGCAGGUUCCCUACAGUAUAUUGGUUUUGUGAAAAUUUACCGAUUAUUAUUUUUAUUUGAACGAAAAUUUUAUUUUAUUGGUCUAUUUAUAAAUAGAAAGAGUGAGCAUAGUGCAUUUGACUACAACUCUACUGUUUCAAAUUAAGUUUCAUGUUGUGCAUAUAAUUUGUGAUGUUUUAUUAUCCUCUCUAUGCUUACAGCUUUACGUUAUACACAAUGUUGUUUUGACACUAGGUAGUGAGCCACAGUACCUCUCCUGAGUGGAAAGAAGGCUUUACGUGGGCAUUUGAUGUGCCUCCAAAGGGACAGAAACUCCACAUCAUUUGCAAAAGCAAAAAUACCUUCGGAAAGGUAAUUACUUUUCUUUUUAGAUUUGCAAAUCGCAAGCAGGAUGAGUUAAUCAUUCUAUUUUGUUAUUUAAUUUUUAAUUAUCAUGAAUUGUUUGUGUUCGACCGAUGAGAAAGAAGUUAAAUGGUCUUGUUUCCUGUAAGGCUUUUGAUUGUUGACCUAUAGUUUUAAUAGGGUGGGUUUAAAUCUCACCAAUCAAUAGUGAACGGGCGAUAACUCUGGUUUAAAUCUUACACAUGAUUAGUAAACUUUCCUGCCAUUUUGCUUUUCAUUUCGUGAUAGUGGUUGGUGAGCCUUGUGUUUUUCUUUUGUUUCUCAGACAACUCUGGGAAGAGUGACGAUCCAAAUUGACAAAGUCGUUAGUGAAGGAGUAUACAGUGGAUUGUUUAGUCUAAAUCAUGACAGCAACAAAGAUGGGUCUUCCCGUACACUAGAAAUCGAGAUUAUCUGGUCAAACAGAAUGGCUGAUGAAGAAACAUGAACGAGUACUGAGGUCUGGUGCGGCGCAGUCUCCUCAUAAGGCCGGGAAUGCCGGAUUGAUUAUCCAAAAGGGGGAAAGGAGGCUGGCUUGCUUGUAAUUAAUUAGUUUUUGUGUUUUGAAGGUCCAGUUUUGUAGUUUGAAAUAUUUAAGCUGCUUCAGGUUAUUGUAAAUUAAAUAUGAUAUAGCUUGCGGAUUUGAUAGAGUGGAAAUGCAUUCCCACGUUUUAAGGGAAGCUAGAAGUUGAAUAGAAGUUUGUACAGGUCAGCCUGCAGGUGCUUGCAACUCAAAGAUUUUAAUAAGAUUGGAGUUCGAAUUUCAAUGGUUUCCCAGGAUUCUGCUCAAGUUUCAAAACUAGACACCAGGUUAUAUAACAUCCUGACAUCCGCCUGACGUUUGCAUUAACGGAGUAAUAGACCAAAUGCCGGCAUCUCGUAAGUACAUUGGCAACAUGAAGCAAAACCCGCAGAUUAGACGAGCACAACUACUUGGCAGCAGCAACAAGUGCCGAUCGAGCUUUUGUGAAAGUGGCUAUCAGUGAUCCGAGUUGCAACUUAUCGUUGCACCCAAAGGUCAACCUGUACCUGCAAACGUAUAAACACUGAUUAGUGUAAAUUCAGCUUAUAGCCGGUUCCAGUUUUAAGUUUUAACAGUCAAUUUGCAAGUUGAACAAAAUUACAAUCUUCGGUAUCAUAUAUUGGCAAAUAAUUUCCACAAAACGCAUUAUUUCCUUCUCCACUUUUCUGAACAAAACCAAUGCACCCUAUUGUUUAUUAUGUUGUGACCAAGUACGGCCAGUACCAUGUUGCAAUGAACUUGGCCGCCUAAUUUGUAGAGUCCAUAACGAAUAAGCAAAUGAAAACAGUGCAAGACCAAAUACUUACUCUAUGUCAGCUAAAUCAUUAAUCAACUGAACGCGAACACCUGCUGGCAUCUUAAUCUUAAAAAUGAACCUGUUCAAAGAAAGCAAUGUAGGUGAGAGACGAAGCAAACAAAAUGACAUGAGAAAAUGUAGAAAAAUGUGUAACACUUACAUGGUCACUUCUCUUACAAUAUCUAUCAAAGCCAAUCCUUUUCUUGCAUUCAUAUCAGAUAUUGCUGCAAUACAUCAAGUGUGCAAAGUAAAUACUAAAUAACUCUUCCCAGUGACAUACUGUUCCUUCCUUGAGAAUAGAAUAAGUACAUAAAUAAAUAAGACGGUUGAAUACUUUUGAAACUCCCAGCAAAUGAUUCGUUCAAAAGCCAGUAAGACAUUUGCUCAAUAUCUUUGGGCAAUGGAUUUCCUGUGCAUAGAUAUACUGCUUCUUCAGUUAUCUGCUGUGAAGCCAUAUGAGUUGACUGCAUACAUUGAAAUAGGAAUGACGUCAAGAUCUAUUCGUGAAUUUAAAAAAAAAAAAAAAAAAAAUCAAAUCCAUGGGACAGGUAAUUUGAGUUUCUGCUAAAAUAUAUAUUUUACUUCUAGAGUCCUAAUAUUGGAGACCAUUUACAAUGCUCAUCUGAAGGCAUCAAGUAAAAAAGGGUUAUUUCUCUAUCCCGCCAUUUUAUGAAUCAAUACAUUCAGAUUUUAAACAGCAAAAGAGAAAGGGGAAAAGACAAAUGUAACAUCUGUAGAGAUUAUAACCUGCAAAAUGUUCAAAGCCUUUCUCAUGUCACCAUUGCUAAGCCCUACAACUGCCGCUAAACCACUCGCAGGCACAUCAAGCCUAGUCCAAUCAAUAAAUGUCAACUUAUCAAUAUAUUUCUGACUGAAGCCAGACAUCAAAAGCUACGACCAUAAUGUUUACUAGUGAACCACAGUUCUAUAAGUUUAUUUGCCUUGACUACCCAAUGACAUGUUUAGAAUAUUUCAUUGUUCUUGAAGCAUUUCAAACCAAUAUACAGGGAAAAAUGCGGGUAAGAGAACAGUGCUUACCCUUCAGCUUCUAUAACAUGUUUAAGUCUCUCUGAGACAUGAAACUCCUCAAGUGGAGCAAAUCGAAAACGAGUACAUCUGGAUUGUAAUGCUGGAAUAAUCUUGUUGACAUGAUUGCAGAUUAGUGAGAACCUAGUGCUCUUUGUGUAUUUCUCAAUCACUGCACCAAAACAAAAGUACAGAAGAGAAAAGUAUCAGUGAAAUAACUUCGAACUGAGAAAACCUACUGCAUUAAAACAAUUUAUACCUCUUCGCAAAGCAAAUUGAGCAUCCUUUGUCAUAGCAUCUGCCUCAUCAAGCAAGACCAUUUUGACAGAUGACUUUGCACUCUCACCCCUAAACAGACAUAGUCAGACUAUAAGUUUUGAUUACAAGGCUAAUUGUUAUACAUGCUGACACACAGAAAUUGGAAUCAAAUAAGAUCACGAUGCAUAGCCAUCUUUGGGGGUCUGAAGUCUUAUAAGGGAGAUAUAUUCAUUAGAGCUGGAAAACAACCAGCAGGCCAAACCCAGAUUUUUAAGUCCGGACAUGAGGUUUGACUAUUAAGUAUGAAUCAUAGUUCUAAUAGUAAUCUAUUUCAUAUAUUACGUUCUCCAGAUACUAGAAUGAAUUUCCGACGAAGUAAAACCAUCUCUAUCAAGAUGACAGAUCCAUUCUCUGUACUAUCCAUAGGAUCAUUUAUACCAAGUCACACUCAUUAAAAUGGCCGUGAUCUGUCAUUACGUGCGCGACUAUCUCCAUUAUAGAAAUAAAAAAAGGAAAAGAAGGAACAAAUUCGUUAAUAAAUACUAGAAACAAAGCGUAGGCUUUCUACAUAUGUAUCGUUCAAAAACAACGAUUUUUUAUCAGCUGUAGCAAAGAAAUAAACUUCAUAAAAGUCGACAUAUGAAGAAAUAGGUAUGCCUAGAUACUUUAUUAUUCUAUGGAUAAAGGAUCUAAUUGAUAGAGAAGAAGCUCCGUAAAGAUCAAUUCGCGAGGUUUUGGUCCGAUACAAUAAGAACUGCUUGCUUAUGUCAUGAUCUGAGAUAAAAGUUAGGAAUCCACUUAUGUAAUAGAGUUGAUACCCUAAGGUAUUGAGCAACGAUGUAGCCUCAGAACCCAAAGAUAGUAAGUCUUUUCCUUCUUAUGAGGGAAGGUCUUUUUCAAAGAUUCUAUAUCAAUUUAUAUAUGAAACCGAGAUAGUUACCUUUCAAAAAAAAUUAGAAUGAUAGUGAAACGUAGAAAAAGCAUAACACGAGUUAUUUGGCAUAUUUUGAUCUCCUAUAUAUCCACUUCAUGUGGUACUCAUGGUAUAAAAUAUUGAUGAUAUCGGAAAUAUCGGUAGUCCA
rnacentral:lncRNA from 1 species